rnacentral:lncRNA from 1 species
AGAUGUCGGAUACUUCAGAGAAAAAGUGGAAACCAACUCUGACUAAAAUCCUGGAGGAGCUGGACAACAAACAGUACAGAAAGACAAUGGAAUAUUUGGACAAAGUUCCCAAAGGUCAGAAGAAAGGCAGAUCUUUUGCAACGAUGGCCCAAAAAAUAAUUGAGCGCUACGGACAUGACGAAUCAAUUUCUACAAUACAUAAAAUCAUGGAAGAGAUACCGAGGAAGGAUCCGAGGAUGCAGGAACUGUUGGGCCCCUUUGUUGAAGAACUGAGGAGCAAAAAUGAAAAAGGGAGAAAAGGAAAGAAGAGAAAGUGUGAUUCAGUGGAGAAGGAAGACAAUCCUCCAGCAGAGAUGUCGGAUACUUCAGAGAAAAAGUGGAAAGCAACUCUGACUAAAAUCCUGGAGGAGCUGGACAACAAACAGUACAGAGAGACGAUGGAAUAUUUGGACAAAAUCCCCGGAAGUCAGAAGAAAGGCAGAUCUGAAGCAACGAUGGCCCAAAAAAUCAUUGAGCGCUACGGACAUGAUGAAUCAAUUUCUGCAAUACAUAAUAUCAUGGAAGAGAUACCGAGGAAGGAUCCAAGGAUGCAGGAACUGUUGGGCCCCUUUGUCGAAGAACUGAGCAGCAAAAAUGAAAAAGGGAGAAAAGGAAAGAAGAGAAAGUGUGAUCCAGUGGAGAAGGAAGACAAUCCUCCAGCAGGAAAGAAGAGGAAAUGUGAUCAAGUGGAGAAGAAGAAGAAAAAGCCUGCAGAAGGUCAAAAGAGCAGCCAGCCUGUCAAGGAGACAAACGCUGAUCGUUGGAAGAAAUCCAUCCGUGAGCUGAAGUCCAGCAGUGCACUUCUUGACACUGAUGGCAUUGUUGGGAAAGUUGUUCAGAAAUCUGGUGUGCGCAGUUAUCGAACCAAAGAAAAUGUUAAAAAGUAUUUUUUUUAUCUGGCAGUCGCUGAUGAGACGGCCAGCAUGAAAUUGAUGGUGUAUGGAAAACCAUUCUAUAAACAAAUCAUGGAAAAAAAGACCUACAUGUUCAGAAAGCUAACAAAAGACGAGAAAGGUUUUAUUAAGCUUCGCGCACAGAGUAAAUUCUCAAAGAAGAGAAAACCUGUUCAAGUUCCAGACAAGCUCGAGACGGAAGCUCGGGAGCUGAUUUAUCCCAAGUGUCCAGAUUACUCCAUUGCUGAAGCCAAACUGUCUGCUGACAUCCGUGUGACUGUUAAAGGAACCAUUACAAAGGUUCAAAGUGGCAGCCAGAGUGAGAGAAUUGAAAUUGAAGGAAUCGCAAAAGCCACAAAGAAGGAGACUCACCUGGACGCAUUUUUCAGAGACGAGAUGCACAGGUGUGUUGUGGCUUCUCCACUUCUGGCAAAGGCUUUUGGCUUCAAACUGGAGGGUGAUAUAAAAGAAAAGCUCCUUGACAUCAUUCCAAUGUCAGCAGACGCAGUAAUACAAGGAGGUCAAAUAAAAGAACUCACAGCCGCUCCAGUGAAAUAA